CAACCCUCGCUGUGUGUUUAUAUGUGUCACACGGGACUGCCGGUCUUAAGCCGGAGGAAGUGGGGAUGAUGUCAAGUCAGCAUGGCCUUUUAUAUCCUGGGCUACACACACGCUACAAUGGCCAGCACAGUAGGUUGCUAAGCCGCGAGGUGGAGCCAAUCCAUAAAGCUGGUCUCAGUUCAGAUUGCAGGCUGCAACCCGCCUGCAUGAAGAUGGAGUUGCUAGUAACCGCAGGUCAGCUAUACUGCGGUGAAUACGUUCCCGGGGCUU
rnacentral:rRNA from 1 species